AGGUCUAAAUAGGCUGUCAAUGUGUACCAACUUGUUGGAUUACAUCCUCAGACUUCAUGAGAGCCAACAGAUGGAACCAAGCAUCUUUAUAGGCUGUCAAAGUGUACCAACUUGUUGGAUUACAUCCUCAGACUUCAUGAUAGCCAACAGGUCUAACUAGGCUGCCAAAGUGUACCAACUUGUUGGUUUACAUCCUCAUCCUUCUACACUCCAGGGACGGCGUGGCGCAGUGGAAGAGUGGCCGUGCGCAACCCGAGGGUCACUGGUUCAAAUCCCACCUAGAACCAACCUUGUCACGUCCGUUGUGUCCUGAGCAAGACACUUCACCCUUGCUCCUGAUGGGUGCUGGUUGGU